AGCGAACGCUGGCGGCAGGCCUAACACAUGCAAGUCGAACGAACUCUUCGGGGUUAGUGGCGGACGGGUGAGUAACACGUGGGAACGUGCCAUUAGGUUCGGAAUAACUCAGGGAAACUUGUGCUAAUACCGAAUGUGCCCUUCGGGGGAAAGAUUUAUCGCCUUUAGAGCGGCCCGCGUCUGAUUAGCUAGUUGGUGAGGUAAAGGCUCACCAAGGCGACGAUCAGUAGCUGGUCUGAGAGGAUGAUCAGCCACAUUGGGACUGAGACACGGCCCAAACUCCUACGGGAGGCAGCAGUGGGGAAUCUUGCGCAAUGGGCGAAAGCCUGACGCAGCCAUGCCGCGUGAAUGAUGAAGGUCUUAGGAUUGUAAAAUUCUUUCACCGGGGACGAUAAUGACGGUACCCGGAGAAGAAGCCCCGGCUAACUUCGUG
rnacentral:rRNA from 1 species